GGGUGAGUAACACGUGAGCAACCUGUCUCAAAGUCUGGGAUAAGCCAGGGAAACUUGGUCUAAUACCGGAUGUCCUUUCUCCUUCUUAUGUUGGGGUCAGGAAAGAUUUAUCGCUUUGAGAGGGGCUCGCGGCCUAUCAGCUUGUUGGUGGGGUAACGGCCUACCAAGGCGUCGACGGGUAGCUGGUCUGAGAGGAUGAUCAGCCACACUGGGACCGAGACACGGCCCAGACUCCUACGGGAGGCAGCAGUGGGGAAUCUUGCGCAAUGGGCGAAAGCCUGACGCAGCAACGCCGCGUGAGGGAUGAAGGCUUUCGGGUUGUAAACCUCUUUCAGCAGGAACGAAAUUGACGGUACCUGCAGAAGAAGCACCGGCCAACUACGUGCCAGCAGCCGCGGUAAUACGUAGGGUGCAAGCGUUGUCCGGAUUUAUUGGGCGUAAAGAGCUCGUAGGCGGCUUUGAAAGUCAGGUGUGAAACCUCCAGGCUCAACCUGGAGACGCCACUUGAUACUUCAAUGGCUUGAGUUCGGUAGGGGUAAGCGGAAUUCCUGGUGUAGCGGUGAAAUGCACAGAUAUCAGGAGGAACACCGAUGGCGAAGGCAGCUUACUGGGCCGAUACUGACGCUGAGGAGCGAAAGCGUGGGGAGCGAACAGGAUUAGAUACCCUGGUAGUCCACGCCGUAAACGUUGGGAACUAGGUGUGGGCGGAAUCAACGCCGUCCGUGCCGUAGCUAACGCAUUAAGUUCCCCGCCUGGGGAGUACGGUCGCAAGACUAAAACUCAAGGGAAUUGACGGGGGCCCGCACAAGCGGCGGAGCAUGUUGCUUAAUUCGAUGCAACGCGAAGAACCUCACCUAGGUUUGACAUGUAGGGAAAAGCCACAGAGAUGUGGUGUCCUUCGGGGUCCUACACAGGUGGUGCAUGGCUGUCGUCAGCUCGUGUCGUGAGAUGUUGGGUUAAGUCCCGCAACGAGCGCAACCCUUGUCCUAUGUUGCCAGCGGAUUAUGCCGGGGACUCGUAGGAGACUGCCGGGGUCAACUCGGAGGAAGGUGGGGACGACGUCAAGUCAUCAUGCCCCUUACAUCUAGGGCUGCAAGCAUGCUACAAUGGCUGGUACAACGGGCUGCGAACUCGCGAGAGUAAGCGAAUCCCUUAAAGCCAGUCUCAGUUCGGAUUGGAGUCUGCAACUCGACUCCAUGAAGCUGGAGUCGCUAGUAAUCCCGGAUCAGCAUUGCCGGGGUGAAU
rnacentral:rRNA from 1 species